AAGCACCAGGUGCUAUUGGAAAAAUUAAUAGCCUAAGAUUGUUUUGGAGUAAGAAGAAUGUAAAUUAAUUAAUCCUAUAAACAUGCAUGCUAUAGCAUUGUAUGGUUUGUCCUUCCAGGAAAAAGCUAAAACCUCACCUAUAUUGUUAAUAUAUAUAUAUUUUUUACAUUAUUUAAAUGAGUGAAUUUUUGCUUCCUUUGUUGGUUUUGCAUAAAGAUAUUCAUAUUAGCAUAAUGUAGAUAAAUCUCAUGAGUUAAUUAUUCACUAAAUCAAAUUUAAAAUUAGUUUCCAUUUCUAAGUCAAAGGUUGAGUUGUUCCACAUGUGUUGUGUGGAAUAAUUGAAAAUCAUUAUUAAUUAGUACAUGCUGCUGGUGACUGAGAUCCCUCUCAAAAAUUUCUGAGCUUGGUUUGAAACCUAAAAAUAAGAAAAUAAGAAUAAACAUAAGUUCAAUCUACAAUCCAUAGAAACGACAUUGUAUUUCUAGUCCUUUUAAAACUUAACCAAAAGUCUUUAUUGAUUCACCACAUUUGCCAGUACAAUGCAGAUGGGAAAAUGAAUAAAGG
rnacentral:lncRNA from 1 species